CAGCCCCGGCAGCCCGCGGCAGGAGCGGGGAUGGAGCCGGCACAGGUCGGGAUGGGCAGCGCGGGGCUCUCGGCUGCUCCCAGCCGCUGUUCCAGGGGGGAACCCGGCCCGGGCCAAAGGAGAGGCAAACUGGGGAAACUGGGGGCUGCACAUCCAAACUGGGGCUGCCUGGGGACCCUGCCCGGGCACUGCCGCCCUUGGGGCUCCUCUCAGGAGAUCAGGAGGGGGGAACGCAGAGAGGGCUCGGGGAUGCCAGGAGUGGCUGCACUGGGAGGGACUGGGCUCUGCUGGGACCCUACUGGGAGGGACUGGGACUGUGCUGGCUUUGUCCUGACACCAUACUGGGAUCAUACUGGGAGGGACUGGGACUGGGCUGCUUUUGUGCUGACAUCAUACUGGGAUCAUACUGGGAGGGACUGGGAUGGAACUGGGAGGUUACUGGUUUGGGGUUACUGGGAGGGGAUUGGGAUGGACUGGGAUGAACUGGGAGUUACUGGUUUGGGGUUUGGGGUUACUGGGAGGGGAUUGGGAUGGACUGGGAUGAACUGGGAGUUACUGGGAUGGACUGGGGCCAUACUGGGAUGAACUGGGAGGGACUGGGAAGCAUCCU
rnacentral:lncRNA from 1 species